rnacentral:lncRNA from 13 species
UUUAUUGACAACCAAUAACACAAGACAAAGAACAGACCAGAGUGUUAAUCUGAUACUAUAAAAACUACAGGCCUUGUGAACAGCAGUGUGUCUUCUUCAAGGCUACAAAUUAAAUCAGUUUAUUUACAUUUAUCAAAACUCUCCCCAAAUGUUCUCAAGGUAGGUUGGAUUAAGAUGUAUAGAUGUUCUUCAAAUAAUCCAGAAUUGUCAUUUAGUCUUCCCACAAUAUAUGUGCAUUAGAGGUCAACAUUUCACACACCAAAAUUAAAACAGAUUCAGCUUGAAUUUAGCUUGAUGUCUUAAUAUGAAGCAAUCAGUCAUUCUCAGACUGCUCACAUAGUAGUGCUGCUUACAUCCCUUUCCCUAGAUGUACAUUAGUAAUGAAUGUGAUGAACAGUCAUUCCAAUAUGAUGUAUGGUAUUUCAUUAAAUUAUGUAAUGAGACAGAAAUUCAAUGAACAAUAAUAACUAAUGUAUUCUGUUUUACAUGAUCAUUAUUCAUGACUCUCCAUCUUGGAUAAUGGAUGAUCAGCAAGAAUCGCAGGAUCACGGUAUUUACAACAAGAGACCCAGGAGGACAAGCUGAAGAGGGAGGCAUCAGCUGGUGAGCUUGUGGGAGGAGAGACCUCAGAUACAGACCCCACACUUCCACUGAGGAGGACAAACAGCAUGGAGUUACCUCAUCCAUCUAUGGGAGGAGAGACCUCAGAUACAGACCCCACACUUCCACUGAAGAGGAGACACAGCAUGGAGUUACCUCCUCCAUCUAUGGGAGGAGAGAGCAGCAGUCCAGACUCCACAGUGUCUCCCAAAUAACAGAACUGGAGAGACAGGUGAAAGAAGAGGAGUACUGGGGGAAGAAAUACAAACACGUUUGUCUGACAUAUCAAAAUGUGGAGUGUUUUCUCAUUGGAAAGAUGUCGCCCAGAUGUCCUUUGGGUGGUGGACCAUUCUUGAAACACACAGGAAUCCCAACAGCGUUGCAGUUCUUUACACAAGCCAGUGCUCCAUGCACCUGUUACCAGACCCCGUUCAAAGACAUUUAUAUAUUUUAUCUUGCCCAUUCACCCUUUGAAUGGCACACAUACACAAUCCAUGUCUCAAUAUACUUCUUUAACCUUCUUCCUCCCCUUCAUCUACACUGAUUGAAGUGGAUUUAACAAGUGACAUCAACAAGGGAUCGUAGCUGAUCACCUGGAUUCACCUGGUCAGUCUGUCAUGGAAAGAUCAAGUGUCCUUAAUGUUUUGUACACACAGUGUAGGUCUACAGUGACUUGAUGAGUAACACAUUAGAUUAUUGUUCUGCUGCUGUUGAGACAACUGUUUUGUGUUAGAGAGGAGACCAGAUAGAGACAACUGUUUGGUGUUAGAGAGGAGACCAGAGAGAGACAACUGUUUNNNNNNNNNNCAAAGACAUUUAUAUAUUUUAUCUUGCCCAUUCACCCUUUGAAUGGCACACAUACACAAUCCAUGUCUCAAUAUACUUCUUUAACCUUCUUCCUCCCCUUCAUCUACACUGAUUGAAGUGGAUUUAACAAGUGACAUCAACAAGGGAUCGUAGCUGAUCACCUGGAUUCACCUGGUCAGUCUGUCAUGGAAAGAUCAAGUGUCCUUAAUGUUUUGUACACACAGUGUAGGUCUACAGUGACUUGAUGAGUAACACAUUAGAUUAUUGUUCUGCUGCUGUUGAGACAACUGUUUUGUGUUAGAGAGGAGACCAGAUAGAGACAACUGUUUGGUGUUAGAGAGGAGACCAGAGAGAGACAACUGUUU